rnacentral:rRNA from 1 species
UACGAAGGGGGCUAGCGUUGCUCGGAAUUACUGGGCGUAAAGCGCACGUAGGCGGAUUGUUAAGUCGGGGGUGAAAUCCUGGAGCUCAACUCCAGAACUGCCUUCGAAACUGGCGAUCUUGAGUCCGGGAGAGGUGAGUGGAACUGCGAGUGUAGAGGUGAAAUUCGUAGAUAUUCGCAAGAACACCAGUGGCGAAGGCGCUCACUGGCCCGGUACUGACGCUGAGGUGCGAAAGCGUGGGGAGCAAACAGG